ensembl:lincRNA
CUAUAAUAUUGAGGCCAAAUGACCAGGAAGCACCAUUAACGUUAUAUUUAGUGAAAUUCUACACAAGGUUUAGUUGACCUAGGAUGGGUUUGGCUGGAAGUCUCUGCGUGGCCAGGCUCUGUACUUAGAGGUUGGGACCAGGUCUUUAUUUGUUUAUUCUGGAACCCAAACAGGGACAGUGACUGAUAUAUCAUAAAAGCCUAAGAAAAAUCCAAACAACAGAAGUUAGAUGUGGACGUUGCAGCCAGUAGAUGUUGCUGUUGAGCAAUGUGACAGAGAACCACCUGCCAGGAGUGGGAAUAACAGAUUGGCACUUUGAUUUUAAUAGAUAUGAGGAUAUUCAUAAAUCCUUCCUCCAGAAAUGUCAGCCUUAGAGAUUUAAGGGUGUGAUAGUAAGAUUAUGGAGAAAAAGUCCAGGUAAUAGUAUAUCUGCUAUAUCCUUAUUGUAAGUUUACUCAUAAUAUAGCUUCGUAACAACUCCAAAGACCAAUUUUGCAUGUUUCAUUCAAAAUCUUCUAAACAAUUUUUUU